rnacentral:rRNA from 1 species
GCGAAGACUUUACAAUGCUGGCAACAGCGAUAAGGGAACCUCGAGUGCCAGGUUACAAAUCUGGCUGUCGAGAUGCCUAAAAAGCAUUUCAUAGCAAGGGCCGGGCAAGACCGGUGCCAGCCGCCGCGGUAACACUGGCGGCUCGAGUGGUAACCGUUAUUAUUGGGUCUAAGGGGUCUGUAGCCGGCCGGAUAAGUCUCUUGGGAAAGCUGGCAGCUUAACUGUCAGGCUUUCAGGAGAUACUGUCUGGCUCGAGGCCGGGAGAGGUGAGAGGUACUUCAGGGGUAGGGGUGAAAUCUUGUAAUCCUUGAAGGACCACCAGUGGCGAAGGCGUCUCACCAGAACGGACCUGACGGCAAGGGACGAAAGCUAGGGGCACGAACC